GCAGGAUCCCUGGGCAUAGUCGCUUGUUCUCCGCCCGCGGUGGACCAGCUGCGUAACGGUUCACACACUGAUGGCGCCUGGAGGUUUGGCGAAAUACUGACAGGAUGCGACGUCAACGGGAGCGCAGGGCCAAGAUACCCUUUAUAUCAAACCGUCUAUCCUGGAGCAGAAAAAUCCUGUCUUCAUUGCUAUAGCUACAGAUUCAGAAAUGAGCAUGUAACAAAUUCAGGCCAAAGAGAGGCAAUGGAAAUCAGAGAAACACUGUUCCUGAAAGCUUCUGUCACUCAAGAAUCCAUGAAACAUUCAUGAACUUCACAUCAGAAGCCAAGCCCAGAAAAUAUGGGUUUAAGGUUUGCCUAUAUGUCCAAUACAAGAGAAAAAAGAACAUUCCACUUCUUUAGAAGGUUCUACUUUGAUCUCCUGGAAGAUUUCUGUAUUUGUCUUCUUAACUCUUGAGUUUUGUUGUUGCUAAUAUUGGAUGAAGAGGAGACAAAAUGAUUGGAUCUAGAGGAGCACCGACAAGCAAAUGGCAGAUUCCUAGGCCCUCACCAGAGGCUGAGCAGAUGUUGGUGCCAUGCUUGUACAAGUCUACGGAACCAUGAGCUAAAAUAAACCUUUUUUCUUUAGAAAUU
rnacentral:lncRNA from 1 species